AUAAACGCUGGCGGCGUGCAUGAGACAUGCAAGUCGAACGAAGGAUCGGGCUUGCUCGAUCCUUAGUGGCGGACGGCUGAGUAACGCGUAGGUGACCUGCCCCGAAGUGGGGAAUAACUGCCCGAAAGGGUGGCUAAUACCGCAUGUGGUCGCACAUUCAUUUGUGCGAGUAAAGCCGCAAGGCGCUUCGGGAGGGGCCUGCGUCCGAUUAGCUCGUUGGUGGGGUAAUGGCUUACCAAGGCGACGAUCGGUAGGUGGUCUGAGAGGACGAUCACCCAGACUGGGACUGAGACACGGCCCAGACUCCUACGGGAGGCAGCAGUCGGGAAUUUUGCUCAAUGGGGGAAACCCUGAAGCAGCAACGCCGCGUGAGGGAUGAAGGCCUUCGGGUUGUAAACCUCUUUUGUCAGGGACGAUGAUGACGGUACCUGGCGAAUAAGCCACGGCUAACUACGU
rnacentral:rRNA from 1 species